rnacentral:rRNA from 1 species
ACGAACGCUGGCGGCGUGCUUAACACAUGCAAGUCGAACGGUGAAGCUCCAGCUUGCUGGAGUGGAUCAGUGGCGAACGGGUGAGUAACACGUGAGCAACCUGCCCCUGACUCUGGAAUAAGCGCUGGAAACGGCGUCUAAUACUGGAUACGAGAAGGGUCCGCAUGGGCACUUUCUGGAAAGUUUUUCGGUCGGGGAUGGGCUCGCGGCCUAUCAGCUUGUUGGUGAGGUAAUGGCUCACCAAGGCGACGACGGGUAGCCGGCCUGAGAGGGCGACCGGCCACACUGGGACUGAGACACGGCCCAGACUCCUACGGGAGGCAGCAGUGGGGAAUAUUGCACAAUGGGCGAAAGCCUGAUGCAGCGACGCCGCGUGAGGGAUGACGGCCUUCGGGUUGUAAACCUCUUUCAGCAGGGAAGAAGCGAAAGUGACGGUACCUGCAGAAGAAGCACCGGCUAACUACGUG